rnacentral:rRNA from 1 species
GAUGAACGCUGGCGGCGUGCCUAAUACAUGCAAGUCGAGCGAACGGACGAGAAGCUUGCUUCUCUGAUGUUAGCGGCGGACGGGUGAGUAACACGUGGAUAACCUACCUAUAAGACUGGAUAACUUCGGGAAACCGGAGCUAAUACCGGAUGAUAUUUUGAACCGCAUGGUUCCAAAGUGAAAGACGGUCUUGCUGUCACUUAUAGAUGGAUCCGCGCUGCAUUAGCUAGUUGGUAAGGUAACGGCUUACCAAGGCAACGAUGCAUAGCCGACCUGAGAGGGUGAUCGGCCACACUGGAACUGAGACUCGGUCCAGACUCCUACGGGAGGCAGCAGUAGGGAAUCUUCCGCAAUGGGCGAAAGCCUGACGGAGCAACGCCGCGUGAGUGAUGAAGGUCUUCGGAUCGUAAAACUCUGUUAUUAGGGAAGAACAUAUGUGUAAGUAACUGUGCACAUCUUGACGGUACCUAAUCAGAAAGCCACGGCUAACUACGUG